GGUCAGUGAUGAUGGAUAAACGCUCUGAUGGCACUUUAUUAAAUGCCCACAUGCUCGCUCCCAGGUGCUCCUGUGUUUUCCAUUCUGCACCAGUUGCGCUGUGAUGGACUUGGAGUUCCUGACAGUGACCGAUGCUGCUGUUUCAGUUGAUAUUCUCGCAGAGCAAUGUGGGAUGUCUUUACAGCGUGCAUCCUACAGAAUUCAUCCCAUAGGAGCUUUUGAGCAUGGUGGGAUUUCUUUCUGGUGCAUGAAUGCAAGUUUUCAAGCUGAGACC